ACGCGGGGACGGCCCCGCUUCACCCACAUAUCCGCAGGGACGACCCUG
rnacentral:ncRNA from 1 species